GCUUUGAAGGGAAAAGUUGUUGUUGGAUCGUAAAUGCAAAGAGAAAAGCAAAAUUAUGUUCAGUAAUCGUUUUAAUUUCCAUACUGGGUUUCUGAGAAUCAAAAGGGAAGCCUUGCAGGAAAAAUUUUGCCACUGAAAUGAGUAGAAAGAGAAGAGAAUUGUGUCCCAUCUCUGGGAGGUUGCACGAGGGCCGUUGUCUGGAAGGAUGGGUAUCAUGAAGGAGGAAGCAAGAGAUCUGACAGAGAAGGUCCUGCCUGCUGCAGCCUGGCUCAGUCCCUUGUUUGAGGGCCUGUCCACAGGGAUGCCUCAAGCAUGGCAGCUGCCUUCUACUGGAUGAACAAUCCAAGAGACAGCAAGAGAGAAUGUGAUCAAGGGCAUACCUUUCACUGGCUUGAACUGUGAGAUGAAUGUUUCCUUCCAGGCCCCACCAUUUCUCCUUUGGUAAGUGAAGAAAUUAUUCCUAUGGACAGGACCUGCUUUAUGUCAUUACACAGAGUCCUGUGCUCAGAAAUGGCCCACAUUUUUCAAGUAUUCUGCUGUCGCCAUUUUUUUUUAUUACUUAAAAAAACCAUUUUUUAAUGUUUAUUUAUUUUUGAGAGAGACAGAGUGCAAG